UUUUACUUUACAUUGCUUGCUACUCAGUA
rnacentral:piRNA from 1 species